GUCUUGUAGUGUUUCAAUUUCCUUUUCACUCGCCUGCGCCAUCAGAUACGCCACGGAGUUGCCCACAGAGUUGUCAGGCAAGGGCGGCUCGGCCACGGCACGCACGUUUAUCGCGUGUGCUGACAAAGAAGGUCUUGAAUACCCGAGGUUUGAUCUUGACGCCACCCCUGCACACUUCCAAAUAAGUGCAGUCAGUGCCUCGACGCGUGAUGGUCUAGGCACGCUUGCACUUGAAACUUCAGCCCUGAGUCGGUCAAUUUUCUUUGUAUCAAAUACAAACCUGUUUGCUUGGACUGGUGAAAUAUGUAAAGGUAAGGGCAUGAAGGAUUCACUUGCCGGAAAAAUCGUUGAGGCAACAAAUCUAGGAACCACUUCCUUAUUACCUGCACGAGCUGUGGUGGUCCAGCUGUUAACAAAUAUACCUAACGAGACUCCAUCAAUAAGCUUGUGACAAGUGCAAACUGUGAUUGCCAGUCCCCCGCAUUUGAAAAAAGUUGCUUGUAUGCGCAUCAUUGGACCCCCGUUGCUUGCUACAGGAGAUUCUGCGUAGUUAAACGGGUGAAAAUCCCGUAAUAAAUUCUGAUCAGGCUUUUGUAGGUAUUCAAACAAAAAGCCGUUUGCAAGAGCUUCAACAUACUCAGCCCCUUCGUCGUUACAUUCAAUUGAGAAAUCGUCUUUGACCCUCCCAGCAAGAGGGUAGAAUUUUGUGAGAGUUUUUGAUAGGGAUGACUUGAGACAUUGCGAAAUCUGGUCAGCUUUCACAUUACCGUCUGCUUUGUACAAAAAAAUGGUGCUUACAUAGGCCGGAAAAGUGAUCUGGUCCAUGAGGGAAAGUUUAAAAUUUCUCAGGUGUUCAGGAGUUGGGUAAGCUGGUUUGAUGCUUUCUCUGGCCCGUACUAGUACUUCUAGUGCCUUUUCCAUUUUAGGCUUUGCUACUUUUGCAACCGUUUGUAGACUUCUUGUUAGUAUACCUGUCCAAUAUUAAAACAUCAAAAGUUAAAUACAUUAUACACAUAGAACUGUAACUAAGAAAAUUUCUAUCACUAGUUUUGAUUACUUUUCAGUGCCUGCCUUGUUGCUCUAGAUCUCGGUUGCUCUUAUUAGAUGGCAGCUCCUCGGUAACUAGCUACGACCCUUAUAUAGUAAAAUUUGGUUGCCAAAUUUGACUCCAUUAGUUCGAUUCCGUGGUUUGUCAAUGCAUCAUCAGGUCAAUGAGAACUUGCUCACGAUAAUCACAUGCAUUGGUUUUUGAAUUUUAUGAAUACGAAUCCUCACGAUCGAAAAAGACAUUGAUCAAUAGAUUAAUUAAACGCUCGUGAAUAUAUAUGGACAAUUGAAAGAGAAAUGCUCGGUACCUCAACAUUUAAGUUCCAAUUUGAAUCCUAACUAAUGUGAUAAGGGUUGGCAAAACCUAGGUCCGGGCUUGGGUAUGGCAAUGCCUGGAUCCGGGCUUGGGUAUGGCAAUGCCUGGAUUCGGUGCAGAUAUAUUUUUUAGACACCCAGGUCGAGUUUUCAGGCCGGAUUUUUUAAUUCGGAUUAUUAUAUCGGAUUUUAUACUUUUUAAUAUUAUAUAUGCGCACUUUUUAAUUUUUUUUUGUAAUUUUACAAUUUUUAAAUUUAUUUGUAUGAAAUUGGACAUGAAAAUAUGAACUUUAAAUAUUUAAAACUUUACAUAAUAUAAUAGAUGGGUCAAAUAAAUAUAAUUAUUUAAACUAAUAUAUAUUUUAUAAUAUGUUUUUCAACAAAAUUCGAGUUCUAGACCGAGUUCCAGGCUUAUCAAGUGAUGUCCAGGACCAGCCCCGCUUCAUCUCCGGGCUAGGUAAUCAUAGGUCCAAUCUGGGUCUAGACCGAGUGGGUAUUAAAAAAUACCCCUAAAUGUGGCAUUCAUUGAUUACAUGGUAAUUAAGUAAUUUUACUAGUUGUGAAAUCUAUCAUUCAGUAGAUGAAUGACAAAUAGCACUGGGACUCAAGUUGGGCCUCAAAUGUUGGGAUCCUUAACAUUUUUGCAAUUAAGCAGCAAAUGGUCCAAUCUCAAAAAACUCUAAAGGCAUUCAAGGCAAAGGCAGAGAGCAAGAAAGUAGUAGGAAAAUUGUUGUUUGACAACGAAUCUCCGCUAACACCUGAGGUAAUGGCAGUGGCUUUGCCGCUCAAGUAUGUGGUUCUAGCCUUGGUUUAUGGAGGAAAAUUUGACCCAAAUCACCAUGUGGAGAGGUUUAAUAAGAUAAUCAAGAUCAAAGGCUUGAAUGAUCUAUAGAAGUGCCGGGUUUUUUGCUUUACUCUAGAAAGGUAGGCACGAGAAUUUUAUUGAAGACUAAGAAAGGGGAAGCAUAGGAAAUUUCAAAGAAUUGUGUGACCUCUUAGUCGUGAAUUUCGGAGGUUUAUGCAUACGUGAGCAAGAUAUGCAAGGAUUAAAGAAGGGAUUGAGAAUCAAUUGGUUGUAGAAUAGUUUGUAUAGUAAGAGGAUUGCAACAUAUGCUAAGGUGUAUGAUCAGGCAAAAUGGAUGUAAAAAACUAAAUGUGUAGAACAAGAAAAAAAAGAGAAUGGAAAAAUAGAGGAUAUGUCCGGUGUGAAAAGAACUAAGAAGAGGAUGAGAUAACCUUAGUUACAGCUCGAGAAGGAACUCAGAUAAUAGGCGUCAUUAUGACAAAGGCUUGGUUAAUGACAGAUGACUAGAGAGGCCAUGACAAAACAAAAACAUUGAAUGAAGUUUGACAGAAGAAACAAAGGUUUCUGAAUAAUGGUAAGCUUUAUUGAAAAGUCUGAAUGAAUAAAACUAGAGUUUUGAACCCCUUUUGUAACAAGUUCAAAUAUUGCGAAUUUACCAAAAUAAGCAAAUCCAAAAUCUAAUAUGAUAAUUAAAUUCUCCUAACUAAAAUAAGAAAACGAGAACAAAUGGCACUAAAGUCCGAGUUCUAGAAAAAGAUAAAAAUCCUAGAAGAAUCAGGAAAAAAAAGAAAAAAUCUUAAAACUAGAAAAUGACUAGGAAAGAAACAUAAUUUUUUGUUCAACCAUGGGGCAAAAUGGCUUAUACAGAGUUUUUUUCAUCUUGUUACAAGCUUCAAAACGAUACAUUAUAUACUGAAAACAAACAUUUGUAGCCCAAGUUAUGGCCUCCGGAAUGUAUACUAUUCGCUAUACACAACACCCUACAUCAAGCCAGUUCGUGAUUGGGAAAAAAAAAAUCUUGAAGAGAGGAAGUCCCACCAAUAGGCGAGGCCAAGAAAGAGUAAAUGACUAUAGGAAAAGCCAAUGGGAGAACUGAGUAAGAAUAAUAAGAUGUGUCUCCUAUAGUUUGGAGAGGAUCAAGAUUAUAUAUAGGGUGAACUUAAUAGAGAAGAGUGGGAGAUUUACACCUCUAAACAAGAGCAAAGCAAAAAUAUUUAUUGUGACUACAGAUAAGGGCUAUUAAGUCUGCCAAAACCAAUUAUGAGAGAUCUGCGUCCGAGUAUGGACCUACAGAUUGCAUAGACUUGAAAAAAGAGAUUGAAUGGCUUAUGUAAAACCAAUAUCUAAAGGAAAUGUGAACACGAAAGAAGAGAUGGGACUAGAGGGGACAACAAAGACAAUGUGGUAAUGAUGAUUAUGGAGUGGCAGACCUAGCAAGGGACUUGAAUUGUUCGAGGUGGAAUUAUAGUUGAUACUCCCUGAAACAUUAUGAUGUGAAUUUUAAUGUUCCGAUACCAAAGAAGCAAUGAGUUCAAAGAGUACCGAUUAUGUUCACAAACGAAGAUGAGGAAGUGUUCACCCACCCACAUAAAGAUACGCUUUCGGUGAAAGUUACCUUGUCAGGGUAGGAGUUGAAUUAGGCUUUCUACAUAUAGCUCAGCUAACAUUUUUUUUUUGGACGGUCUACAAAUAGGUAAUGUCAGGCUUGAUCCUAUCAACACAUCAUCAAGAGAAUUUGGAGGACCUAAGCUGACUUCCAUCAGUGUAAUUGAUCUAUAAUUGACUAUAGGGUCCAACUCACUACAAAAAAAUAGUGAAUGUGAUAGGGUGGUUGGUGAUGAGCCUAGCCUUUAUCAAUGCGUGAGAUUUAUGGACCAAGGUGGGAUCGGAGUAAUAAGGGGUUAUGAACAAGUGGUUUAAAGCUAUUACACUAUGACCACAAAACAAUAUAUGGAAAUCACGAGCGUCGAGUUGAGAAUAGAUUAUGAUAGCAGUGACUUAAUAAAGAAAUCAAAUAAGUGCCAAUAAGUAAGGACAAGCCGAGAAGAGUAGUAAAAAGGGACAAAAUUCGUGAAAUUUUCAAUCAUUUCUGAACUUAUUUUUUUAGUACAACAAUAUAUUUGCAUAGAGUCAUAAGGAUAUAUAAGGAAUAGAUCCUUAUAGUAUAUGCCAUUGGUUGGCUAUAUACAACGAACAAAAGCUUGUGAAGCAAAAGAGGAGACUGCUCAACUAAGAAAGGUAUGAGGUCACUCAUGCCAAGGUUAGAAAGGCAUAGCACAUAAAGCAUCUGUGAAACUACUAUCAGUAGGUCGACCCUAGCACUAAUGUUCUUAUUUUUGUUUCCUUUUUAACCAUGUUAGAAGACUUUAUUUCUUACCUUUUUUUAUUUCAAUUUAGUUCAUGUUUAGUUCUUAUAAUUUAUUUCAAUAUCAAUAAAGUUAUUCAAAAGUGCAUUUCCAAUGCUUCUUAACUUAUCUACUCAUUUUAUCUGAUCUUACUAAAAUUGAAGUCGUCUGUCUUGGUCUUGUUAAGGUCCAACAUGAAUAAAUUGUUUGCCCGAUCCUAUUAAGACUAAGAUCAUCAUUUUAGCUUUGUUGAGUUCUAACAUGAAUAAAUUAUAUGAUCCGAUCUUAUUGAGAUAGAGGCCAUCAUUCUAGACUUUUUGAGGUCCGAUGUGAAUAAAUUAAAUGCCCGAUCUUAUUGAGAUCGAGGUCAUCAUUUUGGCUUUGUUGUGGUCCAAUGGGAAUAAAUUGCAUGAUCUAAUCUUAUUGAGAUUGAAGUUACCAUCUUGGCCUUAUUGAGGUCUAAUUGAUUUUGUUCUACUAGCCUUAUUGAUAUCUAGCUUAUUAUAAUUGUUUUGGCUUUAUUGAGGUCCAAAGUUAACAAUUAUGAUAUGAUCUUAUUAAGAUCAAGGUCAUCAAUUUUGAUAUUAUUGAGGUCCAACCUAAUUUAAUUAUUUGAUAACUUCAUUUAAUUAUCUGAUCCAAUCUUAUUAAGAUUGAUUUUGGCAAUUUUCUAGACUCCAUUUUAAACUUAUUGAGGUCCAAUUAAUUUUGUUCCACUAGCCUUAUUAAGGUUUGGCCUAUUAAAGUUGUUUUGGCCUUUUUGAGGUCCAAAGUGAACAAGAAUGAUCCAGUCUUAUUGAGAUCGAGACCAUCAUUUAGCCUUACUGUUGUAGUGAAUUGAAAUGUUAUUGAUGCCAAUAUGUAAGUGUACAUAACAAGUAAUAUAAUGAUAAGUAGUCGAGAUCAUUUCCACAAGGAUUGAUGUUAUUAGAUUUGCUACAGCAAUCUUAACAAUGCAAUUUUGCUUUAAUUGAAAAUAAAACAAAUAAUAAAACUAAUACCUUAAUUAAUUAAAAUAAAAUGCAAUAAAGUAAAUUCUCACAUCACACAUAAGGAUAAAACCAAUGGGAAUGGAGUAGUUGAAUGAUUAAACUCACAUAAUAGUUUUAACUAUUUUUCUAAUAUUUGGUUCAGUUGCUACAGCAUCUCCUACAACAUUAGGCAGAAUCCUUAUGUAUCCUCAGUUGUCGCAUGUUAGAUGUCUUAUAUCUUUUGCAACCUAACAGUGACCAAUUGUUAUGCUAACAUAAGAUAUAACAUUACACGCUUAGGUUCUAAUUACCCUACAAGGUGAAUCUCUAUGUCUAAUUCAUCACUAAUUUUAAAUUUAGCAUGACCCUUUUAGAAUCAAGUAAAACUUAACUCAGGAAACCAAUCUAAAACCACGUAUUGUUCUAAUAUGUUCCACUAAGAUAGACCAUUUUGUGACUCUUUCCUAGCUAGUAUCAUUAAAUGAGUGGUUAGCUGAAUUAAUUAAUAGAAAUAAGUAUUAUCAUUUACUCUCUAAAUAAUAUUGAUUUAAUCCAAAAUAUAAUUAAAAUGCAAUAAAAAUAUGUCAUUUACUCUCUAAAUAAUAUUGAUUUAAGUCUAAAAAUGUCAUGAUAACUCUCAUUUCAUAGAGUUAUCACUUACUGAGGUCCAAAGUCUAACCAAAAUAUCUACUAGUCUGACCUAGAAACCUUAAUUGCUAACGUAGAGAUACACAAAUCUGACCUGAAAAUCUAUUUAUCAAGGUCAUGUCAAGUGUGCUAUGCCUACCUGGAGAUCUGUCAAUUCGACUUGAAAAUUUGUUUGUCUUGGUCAUGUCAAACAUGCUCUGUCUAUUUGGUGAUUUGCCAAUCUGACUUGAAAAUCUAUUUGUCCAUGUCAUGUCAAACGUGCUCUAAACAAGUCCUAUUCUUUAGAGAAGUUAAGUGUAAUCACCUUUUAAACCACCUUCAACUGAUAGAGGCUACCUGCAACUGCUGAGAGAGUGAGCUAAAAUUGAGGAAAUAACCACCCAGGACCAGAAGCCUAUUUAAGCUAUAAAUGGUGUUAGAAGAUGGGGGUUUGCAAAUUCGACUGGAAGCUCUAAAAAGUUAUGAACCACGUAAUCAUCUGCCUCUUACAUGACCUUCAGAACAACACCAAAAAUAUCCCUUGAAUUCUUGCUUAUUUCUAGUUUUUGCAGUCCAUUUUCCUUCUUUUAUAUAUCAAAUAUCUGACUUAUGCAUCGGAGGAUCUGUGCUAGACUCUUUCAGCAUAUCCUAAUUGUGUUUUAUGGUUGGCUGAUGUGGUGAAAUGCAUUUGUAUUGGUGUUUGAGUUUGGAUUCGUGCUAUUAUUCCUAGAAAAUAAAUUCAGUUGUUGAGGUUAUUUUUCAGCAUUAACAGAUAAUAAGCUAAAUCAUUAAAAAUAAAAAUAUUACUAAGACUUCUAUUCAAUGACAAUAUAUCAUAUAAAAAAAUGUGAUAAUAAUUUAUAAUGGAAAAAAAAUUACAAAGCAAAAGAGUCCCCACCCACAUAAAAUUUCUUAGCCUAGUUUAAAAGAGAGAGACUAUCAAAACAAAAAAACAAAAAAAAAUUGAAUGUAGACCAUCACAACCAUUUUUUUUUUUACAUGCUUGCUUCUUCUACUUUUUUUUAAACUAUUUUUAUUCAUUAACAUGUACCUUAUUUUGACAAUAAUAUUUGCGUAUAAAAUGACAUUAUAUAUAUAUAUAUAUAUAUAAGUUAUAAAUAAAAUGUUCAAGGAUCAAAUUAGAUUUUUUGUAUUUAACUUAUCAUAUUUUAUUUGAAAACUCAAACAAAAUAACAAAAUUCAAACUUUGCAAGUGUCGUGGCACUUUGUAACCUUACAUGCUCUCAGCCCUGACCAGACAGAAGAUAUAAAAUGACUAACCACAUACUUGUGGUGGAUCCUGAAGCUACAGAUGUUAAGAAUCUGCCCUUGACUGUCCAAAAAAAAAAGCAAUGAAAUUGCUAGUUUACAUGUUGCUCAAAACUGGUUUCGUGAUCAGAGAGAGCAUGUAUCUCGCCCAAUACACACUCAUACAUGUAUGUCCUUAAUAUCUUCCUCAACAAAAUCGCGAGUUAGAGGUCGAAAAUCGAAUCGAUACUAUUUACGAUAUCUAAGAAUUCUAUAAAAAUUUCGGCAGAAUCUCCCUUAUAAAUAAAACAUUCCCAACCUGCAAUUUACAAAACAAUACUCCCAAAAUAAUUCAAUAUCCAUCCAUCCUCCAUAACCAACUUCUCAAGUCAACAUACCAAAUACCACCCAAGUCACUCUAAUAAUAAAAUACAAUGGUUAUCCUUAAUUACAAAAUAUAAUAAAUAAAUACAACUCGCAAUAUCCCAAAAAUCACAGUAUUAAAUCCACGACUCCUAGCACCAUCACGUGGCCACAAUUUCAAAACUAACAUUCAAUACUGGGUCGACUGAUGUACCUGCAAAUCUCCUGUGGGGGGAAAUAUAAAUAAAAUAAGAUGAGUAUAAAACUCAGUGAACUCAGUGAGUGGAUAGAAAUUUUGAAAAAUCAAUUCUUUUAAAAUGAUUUAAUCUUUCUCAAAUCAAUUUCAUCAGAAUAUCAUAAGAACUUACAUAAACUUAUUUAAUUCAAAUCAGUCACUAAAAAACUAUAUUACAUAAAUCUGCAUAAAAUCGAUGAAAACAUAAUACUUAUCAUAUCAAGUACUGAAUACCAAAAUAUCAUCAAACAAGUACCCAGGGAAAUAAUCUCGUCAUAUCCGGACCUCAACGGACGGGCAAUGACGUACUAUCUGGGUAACGUCACGCCCCGGAGCUACACGGAUAGACAGGGAAAUACUAUCUCAUAUCUCAUCAUAUCUGUGCAUGCAUAAUCUAGUCCCCAAAGGACAAAAGCGCCCAAGCACACGGCCCAAAGCCUCUGUGUGUACUCAGACGGGCCCCAAAGGCCUGUAUCUCAUCUGUAUCUCAACUGUCUAUAUCUCAUAUCUGUAUCACUGUAUCUUAAUAACGGAUCUGUAUCCCAAUCUGUAUCACUGUAUCUCAAUAACUGAUCUGUAUCCCAUAUAUGUAUCACUAUAUCUCAAUAACUGUCUGUAUCCCAUAUCUGUAUCACUGUAUCUCAAUAACUGUCUGUAGCCCAUAUCUGUAUCACUGUAUCUCAAUAUAUGUAUCACUGUAAUAAUCAUACCGCAUGCAUAUGCCCCAAAGGCAAAAGCGCCCAAACACACGGCCCAAAGCCUCUAUGUGUGUUCAAACGGGCUCCAAAGGCCUCUCAUCUCAUAUCAUUUAUAUCAUUGUAUCUGGAGGGGAAGGGUACUGUCUAAUGAUUUCAAAAACAAUCACUGUACUCAUAUUCACAUACCUCUUUACCAUAUUUUAAAUCAUACCACAUUUGAAUCCACUUUUCUUAGCUUUCAAAUAAUAUCACUCUUUAUUCAAAAUCGAUACGCAAAAUCAUUAACCAAAUAGUUUAAUAUAAUAUCAACACGUGAAUAAAAUCCAUUUCAAGGAAAUCACAUUAAAUCCAUUUCAAGAAAUCAUUAAAUCGGAACAUUUAAAAUACUUAUUCCGCAAACAUGCUUUACUAUCAUAAUUAACUCUAAAAAUAGGUUUCGUAUAUUCCACUCACAGUGACAAUGUCCAGACUCGGUGUCGACAACGUCCGCGGGUUGAUUCUCGUUCGUGAAUCCUCCUAAUCAAGGAAACGCCAUAAUCGUUUUCCGUAAAUUUGAAAUACAACUAAUCUUACAUAAUAAUUCUCGAAAUGAAUAUCUAUCAACAAUAAACUAUUCCCGCAUGCACAAAAUUACUGAAAUACCCCUACAUGCCAAAAUUACCAAAAUGCCCCCAACAUCAUUAUUUUACCAAAUUAUCCUCAGAAUCUUCAAUUACUAAAUUGUCCUCAAUUCAGAACAUGAAAAUAACCACAAUGUCAGAAAUUACGAAAUUACCCUCGGAGCGUAAAUUACCAAAAUAUCCUUAAUAACUUAAAUUACCAAAUUACCCUCGUAAUCUCAAAUUACCUCACUGCCUAACUUAAAAUUUCCAAUUUAUCCACUGAUUCCACAAAUUACAAUUUCACCCUCAAGUUUAUGAAUUUACCGAAUUAUCCUUGAAUUCAAUAUUACCAAAAUACCCUCAUACCAAAAUUACCAAAUUAACCUCAAAAUCAUAAAUUACCAACUUUAUCCUCAAUUACAGCAAUUACUAAAAUACCCACAAAAUCGAAAAUUACAAAUUUGCCCCUAGACUGAAAUUACCUAAAUACCCUUGCCGGUCAACGGUCACCGGAAUUCAUUCGACGGCGACGGGAAGCUCAGAACUGAAAGUUCAAGCCACGCUGAGUCCAAUGGUGCCGGCGGUGACCUCCCACGCGCGGCAACGGCGGCAAAUCGAGCUUCCAAGACCGCGAGCUUCCCAAGUGGUUGAUCGCCGGCAAUCCGGCCGUUUCAGGUGACGAGGUUGGUCAGAAAAUGAUGCUGGUGACGUGAGGAGUAGAACCCAGCUGGAAGUGUGCCCAAAAUCCGGCGAAAUCGACGGCGGCAAAAACGAGCCUUGGCCGCGAGUUUCGAGCUCAAAUCGCCGGCGUUCUGGUCAGUUCCCGGCGACUAGGGCAGCGGGGAUAGGUCGGUCGGCUUCCAAGCUUCAGAUCGGUACCAAGCACGGCCGGUGAGGUGGCCGGAAUUGGGAGAUCCGUCCGGGUCAAGUCGCGGGUUUCCGGGUCGGGUUUGCGGGUCAACCGGGUCAACUCUCCUCCUCUCUCUCUCGUCUCUUCUCUCUUUCUCAUUUUGAAAACCAGCUUCCUCAUUUUAUAUGGAACUCAAAUUCUUUUUUUUUUUUUUUUUUUUUUCACUUAAGCUUAAUACAAAUUAAGCUAAUACCGGACCCGAGACGAACAUAAAAUCCGACUAUCCGAGCGUUUAAUCGCGCUCAAUUAUAUAUAGGUGAAGGGUUAAAAAAUAAUUGGGUGUGGGGUAUUACACAAACACUUUCUCAGCUCAUUUCAAACAUGGUAUCAGAGCCAAUUACCAGCUCAAAUCUAAAGAGCAAUACUUAUAACUUUGUCACUUCAAUAAAACUUUAUCAAAACAAUUUUAUUGUUUGGAGAACUCAAGUUCUUACUUCUAUCAAAUGCAAUGGCUUAGAAGGUUUUAUCACUGGUACAAAAAGUGUCCAGAUCAGUAUAUUGUUCAAGAUGAAGCUGCUGCGAGCUCCUCAAGCCCUGGAUCUGGAUCAAGAGUUGAUAAUCCUGCGUUCUCUGCGUGGAUCAGAACUGAUCAACUUCUCCUCAGUUGGAUGAUGUCUUCAAUUCAAGAGAAUUUGCUCUCUUUAGUGAUUCAUUGUGUUUCCUCUCAAUAACUGUGGGAGUCUCUUAAUCGCAUGUUUGUUUCUCAAACACAAGCUCGUGUCAUGCCUAUGAAGAUGCAACUACAGACAGCUAAGAAAGGAUCAAUGACAAUGAGUGCAUAUUUUGCAAAAAUGAAAAGGUUAGCUGAUACUCUUGCCAUAGCUAGUAAGCCUAUUGAGAAUGGUGAUCUUGUUAAUUACAUCUUAACUGGACUAGAAUCUCAAGAAUAUGAAUCUCUAGUUAUAAGCCUAUUAGCUAGAGGUGAAAGCUUAAGUCUAGAUGAUUUGUAUGCCUUAUUACUGAGUCAUUAAAUGAGAUUUGAACAGAAGAAAAAUAAGCUUAGCACUGAUGUAAUGCAUAAUCCUCUGCAAAUCUUGUUCAGAAGAAUCAAGGAUUUGGCAGAAAUAAUUUUGGAUUUCAAAAAGGUAAUAAGAGUUUUGGUGGAUUUGAUGGCAAUACAUUUAAUAAUCCAGGAUCAGGUCAAAAUAAUAAUAAUUUUGACUCAAUCAUCUGCCAAAUCUGCUUCAUACCUGGACAUAGAGCAAACAAAUGCAAGAAUAGGUUCAAUCUUGGUUUUGUACCUCAAAAGUAUUAUGGCAGAGGAGGGUUUAAACUAACUUAUGGACAAAAUGGUAGAGGUUUUGGACCUAGACCAUUUCCUAGCAAUGGUAGAGGAUUUAAUGGUCAAUUUAAUGGUAGAGGAUAUGAUUAUAAAACUACUGGUUACUAAGGCAACAUGAUAUAUUCAUAUGUAAUAGCUUAUAAUACUUAAUCUGCACCUUCUCAAUCUUCGCAGUCUCGUCAUUUUUCUCCUCCUCAACCUUCUGGUCAUCUAAUGAUAACCAGGCCUAAGGCUAAAAUCUUUAAGCCUAAGACUUUUUUAGCAGCAUUACUUGCUGAACCUACAGAACUAGCCGUUGUGGCUCAAGCAUUAGCAUAUCCUAAAUGGUUUAAUGCCAUGAAAAAAGAAUUUAACUCAUUGCAGGCCAAUCAAACUUGGUCUUUGGUUCAACCUUCUACACCAGUCAAAGUUAUAGGCAAUAAAUGGGUAUUCAGAAUCAAGUAAAAUCCAGAUGGAUCCAUAUCUAGAUAUAAGGUUAGGCUUGUUGCAAAAGGCUUUUCUCAAACUCAAUGGGUUGAUUAUAAUGAAACCUUUAGUCCAGUUAUUAAAGCCUCUACUAUCAUGAUUGUUUUUAGCAUAGCUAUAAUGCAUAAAUGGGUUAUUAGACAGGUUAAUGUUAAUAAUGCAUUCCUUAAUGGCUAUCUUGAAGAAGAUGUGUAUAUAACACAGCCUACAGGCUUUGUUGAUCCCUCAAAGCCUCAUCAUGUAUGUAAGCUUAAAAAGGCUCUCUAUGGUUUAAAGCAAGCUCCUAGAGCUUGGUUUGAUAGAUUUAAAUGUGCCAUGGUUCAACAAUGGCAGUUCACAAAUUCCAAGUCAGAUUCUUCUUUGUUUUUCAAAUGGCAUCUUGGCCAUAUCUUGCUAGUUUUGGUUUAUGUUGAUGAUAUUAUCAUUACUGGCUCAAAUCCGUCCACGGUGCUUUCAGUUAUAUCUGAUAUGCAGAGUACAUUUGCUCUUAAAGAUUUGGGGGACCUUAGCUAUUUUUUGGGGAUACAGGUUACUAAAACAGCAGAUGGAAUACAUCUUUGUCAAGCCAAAUACAUAGCAGAUCUUUUAGUCAAGCAAAAUAUGGAUAAAAGCAGUCCUUGUGCCACACCAAUGGCUACUUCACAUUCUCUUACCAAAAAUUCAGGCACUCCUAUUGACAAUGAUUCUCAGUAUAGAAGCAUAAUUGGAGCAUUGCAAUAUGUUACUCUUACUAGGCCUGAAAUUGUUUUCUCAGUAAAUAAACUGAGUUAAUUUCUUUCCAAUCCUACUGAUGAACAUUGGCAAGCUUGUAAACGUUUGUUGAGAUAUCUCAAAGGGAAUCUUCAUUUUGGAUUGGCUUUUUCUCACACUGGUUGCCUACAACUUAACUGUUUUACUGAUGCUGAGUGGGCAUGUGAUAGGGAUGAUAGAAAAUCAGUAGCUGGGUAUGCUAUGUAUCUGGGUUCCAAUCUGGUAUCUUGGUCUUCUAAAAAACAAUCUAUUAUUUCUAGAUCAAGUACAGAGUCUGAAUACAGAGGUCUUGCUUUGGCAACAGCAGAGGUAAUAUGGAUGCAAGCUCUACUUUCUUAAAUGAAGCUCAAGUCAGUUGACAUACUUAUAAUGUGGUGUGAUAAUCAAAGGGUCAUUGCCUUAGCUAACAAUCCAGUUUACCAUGCUAAAACUAAACAUGUUGAACUGGAUAUUCAUUUCAUUAGAGAGAAGGUUUUAGCUAAACAAAUCAGUAUUUGCUUUGUUCCAAGUGCAGAUCACACAUCAGACAUUUUUACAAAGGCUCUCACUUAUAAUCAGUUUUAUUAUCUUAGAAGCAAGCUAAAAGUUCGUCCUGGACUUUUUAAUUUGAAGGGGGAUGUUAGAAUAUGUUUUGAUGAAGCUGAUACAGAGAGUAAGGAUUGCAUAGUAUGAUAUGAAAUACAAGUAUGCAACCCAAGAGGGGGGGUGAAUUGGGAUUCUAAAAAUUAUUUGAUUCUAAGACAAAUUAUCAUGCAAAUCUAGAAUGAAUUUUCGAGCAGUGUGCAAGAAUUGGCGCAGAGCAGUCAAAUAGAAUAAAGGGUUUAUUAAAUAUGCUGAUCAAUUGAUGGAUGCUGGGCAUCAAUGACCAUUCACAUAAACACAAUUAAUGUCUUUUUCUCUACGACCCCUUUCACAAACGUGAGUACACCGUUAGGCCCAGUACUAAAGGGCUGUUUGAGAAUAAGAGAACAAGGGCUCUUGCUGCAAGAACGGUUGGAUAAUUGUUACAACCACAUCCACAUUCUAUAUGGAAUAAUACUAAUUCACUCUUCUUAUACACUCUUUCACCGACGAAAUUAUCCCACUGGCUAAUUUGAGGAUGGAGAGGAUGGAGGAGACUAAUAAAGAGACAUUUACCAUGUUUCCAGAUGAUGAUGACUGUGAUUGGAUCGAAUAGUUGUUUGAUAUUGAGGAAUUUGAAAAAACAACUGAGAGAGGAUACCCUUUGUUGCCAAAUGGAGAUGUUAUUUGUGGACGAAUGCUAUACCUGCAAGGACUUGUGUACUGUUCUUUAGAUGUUUAUGUGAUCGCAGCUUUCAACGUUGCCCUCAAACAGUGGAAAAUUCUUCCAUAUCCUCAUAUCGGUUAUGAACAUUUCAUUUAUUCUGAUUAUCUAAUUGACUCAGGAUCAGGCCGUGACAGCAACAAUAGUUUAUUAAUAGCACAAUCUAGAGUACUAUUCCAGGACCCAUAUUCUUCAUAGGUUUGAUCUAUCAGAGAUGAAGUGGUGUAAAUUUGAUAAUAAUAGUGGUUCAUUAAAGGACAAAUCAUUGUUCUUGGGUCACCGUCAUUGUACAUCAUUACUACUUCAAGUGGAAGAUGAAGAUUAUGCAAGCGAUUCCAGGAAUACAAUCCAUUGCUAUGACUGCUGGGAGGAAGAAUGCCCCCAGAUAUCAGAAUUUUAUGGUGGUAGAUUAGAGCAAUAUGCCUGGGUUCAGGAUGCGUUUGGGAUUGAGGUUGGACCGCUCUAGCUUAAAAGCUACAACACUAAAGUGUUUGGUAAACACUAGCUGCUGUAACAUGAAAGUUAUGUUGAUGUGAUUUUUUACUUGUAUCAUAAAAAAUCUAUUAUAUUUUUAAUAAUUUUGUCAAAAUUAUUAUUUAAAAUUUAUAUUUACUACAUAUUAUUAACUUUUGUUUCAUAGUUACAGUUUUUUUUCCACAGCAGCUGUAACUUAAAAGCUACAGCACCUCAAUCCCAAAUGGACCCUUAACCUCCUCUGCCAACGGAUUUCCAUUGACUUCCCCUAUGUAUUUUUGUACCUAUGUUUAAAAUUUUUGGUCUCAUGUUACUUCUUCUGCCAAUUCACAAUGCAUGUAAUCACACACAAAACUUGGAGCAAUUGCCGCAGCAGCUAAGCAUUAACUAAGAUUGCAAUUGCUGCAGCUACUGGUAAAGAAGAGUUCAUUAAUUGGAGCAAUCAAACUAACCACUUAUGUAAUUGAUUGUUGUGCUAACAGUUCUAUUUACGAAAUAGCAACAUAACACAAGAAAAAAGAAGAUACACAUACUUGGCAUGAGUUUAUUAAGAAGUGGAAUCACAUUUCGGUGAUGAGUUAGCUUCCGAUAUCUUGCUAGCUGGUGCUCUCUCCUGUCUUUCUAUGUAAGCUGAGGGAAACCAACCAGCCUUGUCCUUGCAUUGUGAAUUCUGGGAGAAAUGACGUAUGGUAGUAAACUAGAUGUACUGAAGUAGGUUCAGGAAGGAAUAUCACUUGGCAAAAAAAGGACCGGAAACUCGAUUCCAAUUCAUUUUUGUUUGGUAUUUUAAUUCCUCUUUCUCCAGAAAUAUUGCUUGGCAAGUGUGACAUUACUUUCAAAAUCGAUAUAUAAAAUUUCUGUUAUUACUUUAAAGAACGAUCUAUAAAAUUUCUGUUAAACAUUACCUUGACUUUUAACUUCCUUUGUAUUAGCAUUUUAAAAUGCAAGAAUAAUGAUACUACUAAAAAAUAAAUAAAUAAAUACGAAUUUUCAUAAUUGGGCUAAACCAAAUAACAAAAAGACGGAUUAGGACAUCUCAUCUCUUCAAAGUUAGCUUAACUAGAACAACCCCAUCUCUUCCUUGAGAUUCUUAACAGCUUCACUAACUCCAUCCUGAAAGAAGCAUAAGUUUGUGAAAUUUAUUUUCAGUAAUGGAGCUCACAGAACAAAUAGUAAACCUAAAAAUUUACAAGAUGCAGGCUACAGUAAUUCCGACAGCAAUGGCUUCAACGAAUUCAUUAAAUAAAUAAAAACAAGAACUUGAACAAAAGAGAUAUGGAAACUACUAUAAUUCAACUCAAACUCAGUAACUGACAUAUUUGAUAAGUGAAUAAGAUUCGAAUUCCUAGCAGCUAGUCGACAAUUAAAUCGUAUAAAAAGAUAAUUUAAUCGAAAGAAAAUCCAAUUUAACACAGAUAUGAGAUACGAAAAGGAAUGAUACUUAAUGCGGCAACAAGCCAUAGCAUUGAUAAAGCUGGGAACGAAGAAAGAACUUUAAUAUGCAUUUACCUCAACAGAGAUUCUUUCAGCAAUCUCUUUUUCACAUUCUUUGACUCUAGGAGAUAGUGCAUACUGAAUGGCUUGUGAUAGUGCUUCUGCAGCUUCUUUAAUGCUAGUGUCAUCCACAUUAUCUGGAACCAAGUAAUUUCUUUUUAGUGGUUCUGGAGCAACUCCAAGUCAAAACAUCCUCUCGGCCCAGUAGAACUGGUCCAGCAUAAAUGGACAUAGUAUCUGACAUCCAAAAUCCACAAAGGAGACGAAUAAAUAAGUCAAAAUUAUAGCAUACAAGUACUAUCACAAAAAUAAAACUAAAGAAAUAAAGGUAACACAAAUGAACUAAUAUUCUGGGAAAGACCAUUUAUACCAUGUUUUGACUCAACAAGCUCAAUGAAGUCCAGAAAGUUACAAUAAAUAUUCAUUUACCACCCUGCCUGUUCUAGAUGUAAUCACUGUUGGUGGGAUUGUCACGGAAAGCAAUUAUAUAUAUAUAUGCCCUUACUUGACAGCAAAAGUGAUCAAAGGAGAAAUUUAUCCCUAGAUUCUUACAACAAAUACAUAGUAAAGCAAACAAGGCGUCAACAAAAGGUAACAUUAGGGAAAAGGAAUCUCUGUUGAAGACAAUAUCAAGAAACCACUCUUGAAAUUCAAUCAAAAAACUGACAUCAAACAGAAAGAGUGUCACCAGCAUUAGGGCAACAAAGAUGAUCGUACUUUAGCAUUUCAACCAAUACAGUAAAAUUAUGUAUGGAUACAACACAGUACGUAUCUUAUUUCCAAAUUAAAUUAAUCAACAAUUAACAAGCUCAUUUCCUUCUACACAUAUCCGGAAAAAAGUGAUAUUUUCAGAACUUUCUGGAGUAUAUUCAUUUAAAGUUACUCCUUCUGAAAAUUAGAUUUAAAGGGGGAAAAAAGGAGAAAAAAUGGGUUUGCAGUUAAUUAUAUUGGCAGAAGAAUUCCUAUCACCAUAAAAAAUGCAUGAGCUUGUUGAAUUAUAUAGGUGCUUCAAUUACAAAGGUUAGGUAUGAAUGGCUGCCUUUGCACCCAAAGAUUUCUCAACAGUACUAAAAAUAUAUUAGAAGAAAAUUGUACAUAAAGCAACAAAGUGUUUAGAAAUCAACCUGAGGGAUUCCUGCAUGUAGUAGUGCUGCUGCAGUAGAUCCACUGGUUUGAAAUUGAACAACGUAAUGCAAACAUGUAAAUUAGCUUUGUCGUGUUUUGCACUUCUAAUUUAUAUCAAAAGGAAUCACAAAAUAGAAAGCUCUCACCUUCCUCUCACCUUCCUCCAUGAUGAAUUGCAGCCACACAUCUUGGAAACAAAUACUUGUACGGUACCAUUCUGGUUUACAUGAUAACAAUUCAAAAGAAAACAUCAAAUUCCACAGACAAAACGAUCAGAAGGAAACUAAUUGACUAAAAUAAUCAUUUAGUAGUCAACCAGAAAGAAGCAGUUGUCUAACUCUCGGGACAUUAGUUAUUCUAGUUAACGCAGUCAGAUUGCCCUUUUUUCAUUUCCAUUACCAAGAAGCCUACUAUUUUAUAUAUUGUAUUAGUUGAUUUAUUUGAAGACAUUUAAGAUUGAAUGCCUUACAAAGCUCCAUUUGGAGAAGUCCUAAUGGAAGUUUAAAAAAAAAAAAAAUACUAAGGGAGCAUUGCUAUCAUAAUUUCACAAAGAGGGCACCAAGGUCCCAAGUUUCCACGAGUCUCUUACAUAGACAUCCACGUUUCCAAAACCAGUUCUAUAACAACAGAGUAGAAACUGGGUUAAAUCAAAAGUAAUUGUUAAUUCACUUUUUGUGAGUUAAUCGCAAGAAAUGUUGCUUAAAUCAGCAAGGAAUGUCAUUGACACCAGAAAAGAUUUCGCUAUAAGUGAUAGCUUGUGAUCAUGUUUCAAAUAGCUAAAUCUUCACUGGUCAGAUUAUCUAACCAACACUAGGGCCUGCACAUUUAUGUCAUGAAAAGAAAAACUCACAAUGUAUAUCGUACAGCUCUAUUUUUGUUGCUUCACAAGUGAAUAAGUUUUCAUCUUUAUUCUUCAGUUAUCUUAGCUCAAAUUCAAUAAGAAUUUAAGAUAUACUGACCCAGAAAAGCAGAAGAGCUUGCCAUCAAAGAUAGAGAUCCCAUACUGAGUGAUUACUCUGAGUUAAAAUUGAAGAUGUUCCAGGAGCCAUCACUCGGAUAGCUGUGUCUAAAGGUUCGUAUCCAGCUGUGAAAAGGACAAAUCUAUAAGUUGUGGUGUGUAGAACAGUUUGUAAAACCCGAAGAAAUGCUUCAGGAUUCUUUAAAAAACCCAUGCUGCAAGAAGAAAAGAGAAAUAUGGCUUAGUACAGGAUAAGUAUUUAAAGUUCCAAGUCCAAGUGCACUGAACAUGAGUCGGUAACCUAUUUUACCAGCUCUAAUGUAAAUAUAGUUCCAUUUGAUCAAGCAUUUUUUUUUUCGUUGUGAUUUUUUUUAUGCAAACAGAACAUGAUUCACUUCUUUCUUGAUUGAUUGAAAUUCUUAGUAAUAAUUUGGUACUUGGCGUUUUAGGGCACAAUAGAGCUUUCAUUCAAAAUACAAAGAAUAAAUAUGUAGAUUGUUUACUUGCGCCAAGGGAUGGCAAUAAAAUCCGGAUCCGCAUAUUAAAAAAUCCGGAUCCAGAUAUGGAAAGUUGAGAUCCGCAAGGAUUCGAAUCCAGAUUCAAAUGCACUUGCAUUCAAAAAACCAGAUAUUCGAAUCCGAUUAAAUUUUAUUUUAAAUUAAAAAAUAAAUAAAUAUAUAUUAAAAUCAAAUUAAAAAUUAAAAAUUAAAUUUUAUUUGUGGAUUUACGAUGUUGUUGUAUGUUAUUCAUGUUGAAUUAUUGAUUAUUGAAUUACGAUUGAAUUUUAUUUGAUAUUAUUAGGUAAAUUAUUGAAUUUUAUUAUAAAUUAAAAAUAUCUAUUAAAAAUUAAAUUUUAUUUAUAGAUUAUGAUGUUGCUCUAUGUUAUUCAUGUUGAAUUAUUAAUUGUUGAAUUAUGAUUGAAUUUUAUUUGAUAUUACCAGGUAAAUUAUUGAACUUUUAAAUUAUAUAUGAAAUUAUUGAAUUUUAAUUUUUGCGGAUCCGGAUAUAGAAAUGUAAAUAUGAAUUUGGAUCUAGAUGCACUUACAUACAUAUGUGGAUUUGGAUUUUGCCAACCCUGCGCAAGUAAUCAACUUCUUUGCCUUUGCAGCAGAUGUAAAGUCUCUAUUUCAACUAGAAAAUUCACACCAAAAAUGCAAAAUGAAAAAUAAACAAUAGUUUUUGAAUUUUAAAUUAUCCAAUAAACAAGUUUAUUAUUUUUUCAAAAAAUGAAAAAUGAAAAAUAAGCAAUAUUUCUUGAAUUUUAAAUUAUCUAAUAAACAAGUUUGUUAUCUUUUCCAAAAGCUAUUUCCUAAACAAAAAUGAAAAAAAGUUAGAAUUUAUCAAUAAGUGAAAAAUUAAAAAUAAUUAAUAAAAGAUAAAGAAAUAUGAAUAAAUGUAGUUUUAAGAAGCUGAGUAUAUAUUGUUAUAACAAUAAAACCUUUGGUGAACACCAUCACCUAUAAAUCAGGAUCAUUUAUGUUAUAUUAUCAAUAAUCAAUAAUAAAUUAUGUGAAAGCGUACCUGAAUCCAUAAUUCUUAAUUGCCUUCUGGAGUUGUGUGGUUGACCUUCCAGAUUGACAUAUUCUCCUAGAGAAUUCUUUAAGUUUCUUAUACUCUAUUUCUAAUGAUGGGAUGUCAGAAAGAAUAGAAAGAAUAGAAUGGUAUUUUAAGUUUCAUCGCAUUUGGUUUUGAGAUGAAUUAAUCAUUGAUUGUAUAUACUAGAAGUUAUGUAGGAGCAAGUAUAUUUCUCUAGUUUUAUGUGUUGAUGACAUUUUGCUUGCUAGCAACGACAUAAGCUUAUUGCAUAAUGUCAAGAGAUUUCUAGUUAAGAAUUUUAAGAUGAAAGAUCUUAGUGAUGCCUCUUUUUUAUUAGGUAUACAGAUAUACCCGAAUCACUCUCAGGAUAUUCUUAUCACAAAAGAGGUAUAUCGAAACCGUCUCAAGAGAUAUGGUAUGUGCAAUUGCAAACCAAGUGAUACCCCUAGUGGUAGAGGAGACAUGUUUAGUCUCAAUCAGUACCCUAAGAAUGAUUUUGAGGACAGAAAAUGCAGAAGAUUCAUUAUGCAUUAGUAAUAGAAAUUCUUAUGUAUACUUAGUUUCCUAUGCGAUCUGAUUUGCAUACGUCACUCAGAUGUUGGGCUGAUAUUUAAGUAAUCUAGAAGUAUACUAUUGGAAAGCAGCUAAACAAGUCUUGCGAUACUUACAGAGAAUAAAAGAAUACAUGCUCAUGUAUAAAAUGUUGUGUUAGCUUGAGAUCAUUGGAUAUACUGACUCCGAUUUUGCUGGAUGUCAAGAUAGUAUAAAGUCUACAUCAGGCUACAUUUAUCUACUAGCUAAGGGUGUUGUCUAUUGAAAUAGUGUUAAAUAUUCUCUUAUAACAUCUUCUAUGAUGGCAGCAGAGUUCAUAGUAUAUUACGAAGCAUGCAAUCACAGAAUAUGUCUGUGGAAUUUUAUCACGAGGUUGCACAUAGUAAAUGGUAUAUUGAUAGACUACUUAAGUUAUUUUAUGAUAAUAAGUCAAUAGUAUUGUAUUCCAAUAACAACAAGAACUCGACGAAGUCUAGACAUCAAGUUCCUAAUUGUUAAAGAAAGGAUUUAGAGUGGACAAUUGCCUAUAGAGCACAUCCACACAAACUCUAUAAUUGCGAAUCCGCUUACUAAGGGAUUGCCACGCAAGAUGUUUCAUAAGCACACUGCUCGUAUGAGUGUCAUGUCAUUAAAGGAUAUUCAAUUUUAGUAGAAGUGUGUGAUUUUAGAUACUCUUAUAAAGUAGACAUUUUUUAGUUAUUUCAGUUUAUGGAUAUUUUGGGUUAUUUUUUGCAGAAAUAAAGUUUUGUUUUAUUCACGCCUUAACUUUUAGUAUGUUUGAUCUCACUAAAUUUUAAGGUAGAUUAGUUGAAAAUAAGCAUGUUAAGAUCACAUUGCAUGAAAUUUCAAUACUAUAUAUCCACAUCAUGUUAAGGUGGACUAGUUGGAAAUAGGCAUGUUAAGCUCACAUUAUAUGAAAGUUUCAUGCUACACAUCCACAGCAUGAUCAAUGUCAUUUAGUUGUAUUGGCAUAGUGACCAUUGAUGGGUCAAGUUACGAUAAUUGUAACAAAAGCCGCUUUGAUCCUAUGUUGGUAUGAUUGAUGCACUGAAUUAGUUAUAGAUACAUUUUGGUAAUGACAAUAAGGUUGAGCUCAUACAGUUAUUUUUGCAAAGCAUAAUUAUCAAGCUACACAUAUAGCUCAAGUGAGAGAUUGUUAAAUCUUUGAUCCAGCAUUGUUGGAUCCUUAAUGUAAUGUUGGGCUUAUCUGUGAAUAAUUAUGUGUUGUGGACUGUCAUAUAAGGUUAAACCUAAUUAAAAGUGAUCUAUUAAGAUUUUCAAUAAUAUAGGUUUUCAUGUAUCAAAUAAGGUAUAGGCCUUUGAUAUAAAGAUAUUUAAAAAUAAUUUAUAUUUCUAUGAUGGGCUGAAAUAGGAAUACUUAAAGAUAAUAUGAAAAGUUGUCUAUAUAAGCGGUUAUCAUUAAUAUAACUAUAAUAAAUAUUUAAAUUUGAAUAAUAUUAAUUUAAAAUUAAUAAUAAUUAAAUAAUAAUAGAAUAUAUAAUUUAAAUUAAUCACAAAAAAAUUAAUACAGUACAGUGGAGCACCAAACAUUAUGCAGCAUUGUUAUAACAUAGUGCUAAUGCAAUACAACAUAAUACAAUACAGUGUGUCAAAUGCACCCAUAUGAAAAAGCACACUAACACCCCAACAUUUAGAGAAAUAGUCAUAAAGAACCCUAAAUUUUCAAUAAGAGACAUCAAGACCCCCUUUUGCCCAUAAUACAUUUUUAAAACCAAAAAAUUGACCCGAAAAUUUAUAAUAGAUAGAAAUAUAGCAUUUAUACAAUCUAUUAGGCAUAUUUUAUUAUACUAAAAUAAUUUUUAACAAAUAGAAGCAUAAUAUCAAAAGAAAUUAAUGAAAGUUAAAAUUAUUUUGAAUAUUAUGUAAAAAAUAAUUUUACUAUUAUUAACAGGGAGAUAUUUUAUUAAUCGUAAAAUCUAUUUAACGCAUAAAUACAAAUAUAUUAUCAAAAUAAAUAUAGCAAUUUAAAAUUUUAAUAUUAUUUUAAAUUUUAAAAAUAAUUUAAUAUUAUUUUAAAUUUUAAAAAUAAUUUAAUAUUAUUAGUCCACUGAAUAUAUUAUAUUUAUAUUAAUUAAAAAAAUUUAAAAUCAAUAUUCUAAUUACUAUAUUAAAUGGGUAUUAUAGUAAAAAAAAUGAGUCUUGAUGUUCGUAAGAAACAACAUUACAAUAACUCUAUCAUAAUCUUGUAAACAAAAGUACAAUAACUCUUCACGUAAUCUUGUCUGCUAACACCAAUUAUUUAUGUAUAUUUCUCUUUAAAAAAGCUCAAACAAUGCUCACUUCAUUUUUCUUUAAUUAGACAAAAGAAAAAAAUGAUUACGGAACCACUACUUUCCAAAUGACCCUAUCAACAACCAGUGACUCUGACUAUAGGCAAAAUAUGUGCUCAAAAGUCAUAGCGUUAAAGUUGGAGAAGCCCAUUUGACAAUAAUAAAUAAAUAAUUUUCCGUGACGCAUGAUUUUUCCAAAUCUUGUUUUGUUUUUCAUUUUUUUUUUACUAAGGGUUAAUUUUAGAUUACUGACUCGUGAUUUGAAUUCAAAUCACCUCCUUAUUUUUAAAAACUUUAAUUUACCUUUACGUUUCGUUAGGAAAAUUAAAAAAAAAAAUCAAUUUACCUUUACGUUUCGUUAGGAAAAUUAAAAAAAAAAAUCAAUGUACUGUUUUUUAAUCUUUUGAAUGAGGAAUAAUUUGAGAUUUUCAAAAUUAAAUGGGCCAUUUGAAAUUAAUCAAUUUAAGAGGGGACAAAUUUUAAACUACUUCCCUCUUGAAUUGACUCUCUUCAAAUUACCCUCUUAUAUUUUUAAAAUAUGAAAUUAUCCUAUUUUUUGUGUAAAGGAUAAGGAAAAAAUGGAGAUAAGUUGAUGAAUUUUUUUUUUUGGCUUCUUAACAAAAAUAGAAUAAAUUGAGAUUUUAAAAAAUAAAUAGUGAUUUGAUGAUGGUCAAUUCACGAGGAGAAUAAUAUUCUUUUAUGAAAAAAAAUCUAUUUUUAUUUUUAUUAUUAACAAACUUACAAUAAAUGUACAUAAGGAUUAAAAAAAUAUAAGGAUAUAAGUUUGUGAGUAAUGAGUUCAUUUCUUUCCACACUUGUUUAUAUCUAUUGAUUUUAUUGCACUCUACUUAAAUAUCCAAAUAUUUCCAGCAAAAAAAAAGGGGUCGGCUGAAAUAGACAUGACGUUUUUAUACGCUAAAGUUGGAAUAAUAUGAAUAAAUCUAUUAAUUAUCCGAUGAAGACAAUUUUUUUUUUUUUUUUUGAUAGUUUAACUUUUUCCCCCUAAACUAUGCACUGUUUGUAAAUGAAAGCGUUACAAAAAUUAUGAAAAACGGUUAUUAUUUUUUUUUAGUAGUAACAUAGUAAUUAGGAAAUAACAUCUAGGCCCAAUAAAUAUUAUUAACAUUUUACUACUAAUAAUCAUAAAAUCUUACAUUUUAUUAUUUUUCUAUGUUGACCUUUAAUACACCAGUUAUGCCCUUCUUUGAAAUUUAUAAAAAGAGUUUAUCAAGAAAGAGGAUUUAAUAAAUAAAUUUAUCCAUUUGAAUAGCUGAACUCUUACACACAUCUAUAAAAUAUCAGUAACGCCCUUGACAAAAAGACUAUUUUCUCAAUUCCCAUAAUAUACCAUCUUCAUGGUUGGCAGCAUAAACAGCUAUUAACUAUAAUAUUAGGCAAUUAGUAUUCUAUAUUCAAGGGUAAAAUUCAUUUUAUCUGUUCAGAGUUUUAUUUGUAUUUUACAAGUCAAAAUAUGUAUAAUGAAUCUUGCAAUUUUUAUUUUCCAAAGCGAGGGCAUAAUUGAUAUUUUAAAUCUUUAGUAGUAAAAUUUACGUUAAAAUGUCACGUACGACACCGAUUUACGUGGUUUCGAAUCCAACCAUUGAUCGAUCUCAUCUUCAGUCAUAUUAGCACUUUGUCGGGCUGUUAUUGAUGUAUAAUUAAAUAUUAACCCUGCAUUACCAUAAAUGUCUCCAUGACAAAAAAUUAUCAAAAAAUAAUUAAGCGCACAAAAAUCAUCUUUUGCAACCCGACCACAUACAAAUUUGUGCUGAAAUUCAUAAAUAUCUUGUGAAUAUUUAUAAUUAUGUACCACAGCUAGUAGGGUAGAAAGAUGCUACAAUUAUUGACUCGUGGGGAUAAAGCCUGUUCAUAAAUAAUUGCAGAGCAUAUCAAGCGAGGUGAAGCUUUAAAUAAUACUUGCAUUCUUUAAAAGGAUUGUGGGAGAUUGAAUAUUUCUCCUGAGUGAUAUAGAAAUUAGGCAUAUGCAUGGUUGUUACUUAAUGUCAUGCUCUAAAAUAUUUGUGCACUCGUAUAUUAGAAAAAUUCUCUUUGCUUCUAUCAUUUAAAAAAAAAAAAUUGUGUUGCCUUUUAAUUUAUAUUUACAGUAAAAUUUAAGUGGAUGAUUGGUGGUUGAUAAACAAAAUUUAUAAUAAUUAAUCCUAAUUCUGUACAGUAUGUAGAUACAUUAAAAGAAUUUUAAAACAAAUUACAAAAAUAGACCUUUUCUGGAAAUUAUUUUCAGAGUCGAAAAUCAAGAUUGUGCAAAAUAAUAAGUCGUUGGCUUCUCGGAAGGAGUUCUUGAAUCCACCAUCACUAAAUGUGCGUUUGGAAUUGAGGUUGAACAGUUGUACCUUAAAAAUCAUAGUACUAAAAUGUUUGGUAAACACUAACUGCUGUACCUUGAAAGUUAUCUUGAUAUGAUUUUCCACUUUUAUGAUAAAAAAUAUAUUAUAUAUUUAAUAAUUUUGUCAAAAAUUUUAUUAAAGAAUUAUAUUUACUAUAUACUAUUAAAUUUUAUUUCAUAAUUACAUCUUUUUUUUACAGCAGCUGUAGCUUAAAAACUACAGAACCUUAAUCUCAAACAGGCUCUAAUCUAUCUUGUUUCUCCAUUAUAUCUUUAUUAUGCCACCCAAUAUAAAAAUUUAAAAUUCAUAAACAAUAUUUCGGUAAUAUCAUAAUUAAUAUAUAAAUUGUAAUAUUGCUACAUGUACAACAUCUAUAACUUACAUCAAUUAAAAAUUAAUUUUUUAUAUGACUCGCUGUUGUCUGUCAAAUAAAUGGGAGUUAUGAAAAAUUAUUUUUAGGUCCACUAUUAGUUAGCAGCGCCAGACUGUGAUAUUAUAGAGUACUAUAUAAGGAUGAAUAAUUUAAAAGCUUUACGACUCUUAGAAUUUGGUGAAAUAGAACAGCUUCUAAUGAGAUUGUAUAAUCAAAUCAAUAUAUACUGAUUUGUACAUGUAGAUAAAUUGAAAAGUUAGAAUGAAAUGUUACAACCCUAAAGGAAAAGGUCACCUACACCUCUAAUAUUUAGAGAAAUACUCAAAAGACCCCUAAGUUUUCAAUAAGAAACAUCAAGAUCUCCUUUUGACCAUAAUACCCUUUAACUUUAUAAAUCUAAAAAAUUGACCCCAAAAUUUUAUAAUAGAUAGAAAUAUAGCAUUUUUACAAUCUAUUAGACAUAUUUCGUUAUAUUAAACUAAUUUUUAACAAAUAGAAGCAUAAUAUCAAAAGAGAUUAAUUAAAGUUAAAAUUAUUUUUAAUAUUAUGUAAAAUUAAUAAUAAAAAUAAUUUUAGUAUUAUUAACGGGGAGAUAUUUUUAUUAAUCGUCAAAUCUAUUUAACCCAUAAAUACAAAUACAUUAUCAAAAUAAAUAUAAAAAUUUAAAAUUUUAAUAUUAUUUUAAGUGUUAAAAAUAAUUUAAUAUUAUUAGUCCACUGAAUAGAUUAUAUUAUAUUAAUAUUAUUUACAAAAAAUUUAAAGUCAAUGUUCUAAUUACCAUUUUCAAAGGUUAUUAUAGUUAAAAAAAAAAAAAAAGGGUCUUGAUGUCUCAAUUUUCUCAAACCUUGCAAGUAUUGGUGUCCUUUACCCUAAACCUUAUGAAAGGUUGUUUACACCAAUAGAACAAUUUUUUUCUCAGAUGUUCGUAAGAGACAAGAGUCCAAUAACUCUAACAUAAUCUUGUAAACAAAAGUACAAUAACUCUAACAUAAUCUUGUCUGCUAACAUCAAUUAUUUAUGUAUAUUUCUCUUUAAAAAAACUCAAACAAUGCUCCCUUUAUUUUUCUUUAAUUAGGCAAAAGAAAAAGAAAAUGAUUACGGAACCACUAAUUUUCCAAAUGACCUCAUCAACAAAGGAGUCGACCACUAAGUGCUUAAAAGUCAUAACGUUGAAGUUGGAGAAGCUUAUUUGACAAUAAUAAAUAAUUAAUUUUCCGUGAUGCAUGAUUUUUCCAAAUCUUGUUUUGUUUUUCAUUUUUUUUGACUUUAAGGGUUGAUUUUAGAUUACGACUUGUGAUUUGAAUUCAAAUCACCUCCUUAUUUUGACUCAUGAUUUGAAUUCAAAUCACCUCCUUAUUUUUAAACACCUUAAUUUACCUUCACUUUUUGUAACGAAAAUUAAAAAAAAAAUCAACAUACCCCUUUUUUAAUCUUUUGAAUGAAAGAUAACUUGAGAUUUUCAAAAAUAAUUGGGCAAUUUAAAAUUACUUUCCUCUUGAAUUGACUAUCUUCAAAUCAUCCCCUUAUUUUUUAAAACCUCAAGUUAUCCUUUUUUUGUGUGUAAAGGAUAAGGAAAAGAUGGAGGUAGGUUGAUGAUAGUUCAACUAUCGAAAGAAAAUAAAAAUUGUCAUUAUCGGAUAAUUAAUUUUCUUUCGAUAGUUCAACUCUUUUCAUUUAUAAACAGUGCAUAAUUUAGGGUCCGAUAAUGACAAUUUUUAUUUUCUUUCGAUAGUUCAACUCUUUUCCCCCUAAACUAUGCACUGUUUAUAAAUGAAAGCGUUACAAAAAUUAUGAAAAACUAUUAUUUUUUUUUACUAAUAAAAUAGUAAUUACGAAAUAACAUCCGGGUGCAAUAAGUAUUAUUAACAUUUUACUACUAAAUAAUCAUAAAAUCUUACAUUUUAUUAUUUUUCUGUGUUGAACUUUAAUAUACCACUUAUGCCCUUCUUUGAAAUUUAUAAAGAGUUUAUCAAGAAAAAGGAUUUAAUAAAUAAAUUUCUCCAUUUGAAUAGCUGAACUCUUACACACAUGACACAUCUAUAAAAUAUCAGUAACGCCCUUGACAAAAAGACUAUUUUCUCAAUUUCCAUAAUAAAACAGCUUCAUGGUUGGCAGCAUAAACAUGUAUUAACUAUAAUAUUAGGCAAUUAGUAGUCUAUAUUCAAGGGUAAAAUUCAUUUUAUCUGUUCAGAGUUCUAUUCGUAUUUUACAAGUCAAAAUAUGAAUAAUGAAUCUUGCAAUUUUUUUUUUUCCCAAAGCAAGGGCAUAAUUGAUAUUUUAAACAACAACUAAAGGUCAAUUACUAUCUUUGUCACAAUAGUAGUAAAAUUAUGAAAUUUAUAAUUCUUCAGUAGUAAAAUUUACGUUAAAAUUUUGGAUAAAAAUUUAUGUUGAAAUAACCCUCCUUAUCUAUAUAUAAAAUAAUUCUCAGGUGUGGAUUCCUAAAGUCAUAUUUCGUGUAGAUUCGUUGUUACACUAUAUCUAUUCUAGUUUUUUUUCGACUAACACUAUUAAACCAGUGGUGUAAUAGUGAAUCCACAUUUUCACAUCCAUAUAAGAGAAUGACUAUAUAUAUAUAUAUAUAUAUAUAUAUAUAUAUAUAAGGAAAUUUUAAUUAGUUAAUUGCUUGAAAUUUUCUUAUUUGAAAUUAUUAAAAGUGGUUUGAAUUUUUUAUAAUUAUAUUUUAAAGUAUGGUGCGUAUGCACAAUUUGAGAAAUGAAAAUAUCACGGCCCAUAUUUUAAUGUACUUUUUAUUUAAUUAGAAACUAUUGUUCUUAUCUUUACAGCGUAUAUUGUUAAUAUUUAUGGAGAAUAUCCAUUUUGAGAAUCACUAACCAUUCUUUCAAGUCAUUAUCUCUAGGCUUUUUCAUUACUCCUCGUAUAGCAAUAAAUAUUUAAAUAUUGAUACAUGAAUAUAAGAAAUCAAUAAUAUCAAUUAAAUAAUAAUUUUUGACAAUUUUAGGACUAGUAUGCUAAAUUAACAAUUCGAUAAAUUUAGACGAUCAUAUAUUAUAAAAAAAAAUUCUUAUUUUUAUAUUGUACUAAAAUACUAUAUAAAUUAAUAGUUAAUUUACUUGCAACUAAAUUAAUAGGAUAUGUGCGUACAUGGGCGGCUUUUGUGAAAUAUGAUUUUACUGUUCUUUUCUUGAAAUAGUUGUAGACUUGAUCUCAUGUCCAAUUUCACAAGCGUUUUAAAUAAAUUUGUGCAAGAUAGGCUCAAUAGUAGAAAGAACUACCAUUUGAGGCAUGCACAAAUAUCUAAUUUCUUAUUUUAAUUAAUAAAUAAUUACAUAAACAUAAGACUUUAAUAUAGUCGAAGUGGCUAAAUAAGCGGACGGGCAUCUUAUAGUUUGCUCGUGUUCGUAUAUCCAAGUACUGAUGGAUUUGUAGUAGCAAAUGCAAGCAGUUCUUGGUCACGUUCAAAAAAGGCCAUGUCUUCGGGGCUCAGAGUCAUCAAUACUUCUAUUCCCUUACCAUCGUUUGUGUCCAUUAGCAUAAUCAAGUUUGACACCAAAUAAUUUGGAAAAGUCAGGUGCACUGGCUUUCCCCAUCCAAAAUCUGCUACUUCAUAAUAUGGAAAGUUAACAAUACUGGAGAAAGUGUAGAAAUCGAUCUCAUCUUUUUCAAACUUGUCUUUAAUUGACUCCGGAAUAUCGAAUAUACUCUUGUUUUCUAGCAAGGUUUUGAGACCGUUUCGUCUAAAUUCUGCCUUUGCUUUCCUUAAUGAACAAACCAAGUCUUGUAGUGUUUCAAUUUCCUUUUCACUCGCCUGCGCCAUCAGAUACGCGACGGAAUUGCCCACAGAGUUGUCAGGCAAGGGCGGCUCGGCCACGGCACGCACGUUUAUUGCGUGUGCUGACAAAGAAGGUCUUGAAUACCCGAGGUUUGAUCUUGAUGCAGCCCUUGCACACUUCCAAAUAAGUGCAGUCAGUGCCUCGACGCGUGUUGGUCUAGGCACGCUUGCACUUGAAACUUCAGCCCUGAGUCGGUCAAUUUUCUUUGUAUCAAAUACAAACCUGUUUGCUUG
rnacentral:lncRNA from 1 species